CGGGCCGUGACCGGUGGGAGUCGGGGUGAGAUGUUGAUACAAGCUGGACCCAGUGAUGGUGGACAUUAGUGAACCUAGCAUACAACGGACUGAACCUAGCGAUGCCGGGGAUUGACACAACCUCUUCCUCGGUGUGUGCCUCGAGCGCCGAAGAUAAGUGGCUGUUAUCUAAGAGCAGUGGAACGCCACAGCCGCGGCCGCCCGCCCACAGUGACUUUGAGUACAGUGAUAAAAUGGGACGGAGUGCGUCUGAGCUGCAGCUCAUUCGAGACCUUGGUCGGGAUCCAGCUCAAUCUCAGCUGUUGCCGUGAAAAAGGUUUUCCUUCAGCCUCACAAACAGGUGAGAAACGGAGGCACAUCACAGACGGGGCAGAAGGUGUCUGGAAGGAAAAGUUCCCCACAUCCGCUGCCAUCUCCUGAAUAGCACAUAACAGUGUGAGAAGAUGAGACCAAAGAUGAACGGGGGGAAAAAGACAAGCAAACAACAAUUAAAUUAGCUGAGCGAAAAAAAGAAAAAAAGAACUGCAUCUCACUGUUGGAUAACACCGGAAUCCAACUAUGACACCUGCUGUUCCUGCAGUGGACAGAGGGACGAGGCAGCGGAGGCCUGUCCCCAAAGACAAAAUCAUCUGAACCAUAAUUACCACUUGUCAGCUCCCCGGACACGUGGCAUACCAGUGGGUGAUUCAUUGCCUUCAGAGAUUCAAAGGGCACA